UACGUAGGGUGCAAGCGUUGUCCGGAAUUAUUGGGCGUAAAGAGCUCGUAGGCGGUUUGUCGCGUCUGCUGUGAAAACUCGGGGCUUAACCCCGGGCCUGCAUUCGAUACGGUCAGACUAGAGUUCGGUAGGGGAGUCUGGAAUUCCUGGUGUAGCGGUGAAAUGCGCAGAUAUCAGGAGGAACACCGGUGGCGAAGGCGGGACUCUGGGCCGAUACUGACGCUGAGGAGCGAAAGCGUGGGGAGCAAACAGG
rnacentral:rRNA from 1 species